rnacentral:rRNA from 1 species
GCGCGGCUGACCGGUCCGCCUCACGGCGUGUACUGGUCUCGGCCGUGCUUUCCUCUUGGGCCGCCGGAGAGUACUUUAUUGUGCGCUCGGGAUGGCCUAGGACUUUUACUUUGAAAAAAUUAGAGUGUUCAAAGCAGGCAUUUGCUCGGAUACAUUAGCAUGGAAUAAUGAAAUAGGACGUUCGAUCCUAUUUUGUUGGUUUCUAGGAUUGACGUA